UAAACCUGGUUGAUCCUGCCAGUAGUCAUAUGCUUGUCUCAAAGAUUAACCCAUGCAUGUGUAAGUAUAGUAUCUACAGCGAAACUGCGAAUGGCUCAUUAAAACAGUUAUAGUUUAUUUGACGAACUUCUAAAUGGAUAACCGUAGUAAGACCAGAGCUAAUACAUGCCCCAAAGGCCGUCAAAAGCCUGCAU
rnacentral:rRNA from 1 species